GAGACACAAACAAGGGGUCUUACUUCACAGAGAAAAGGGACGACGGAUUUGUCCCAAGGCCGAUGCCCACACCUCGUGUUUGGGGACUCAGAGGGGCACAAAGGAAACAAGCAGGGUCCAGAGGGAGGGCCCGGGAUCCCGGACGCAGGGUCCCUGCCUCUGCCUGGAGCCCACACGCUCCUGCACAAGGUGACAUGUGGCAGACCCUGGAAAGCCCUGGAUGACAGCACGGGAGUCAGACUCACAGGCAACAGGCCCCAGAGGUCCUAACCGUGGGAGCGGCUGGCGCCUGGAGAGGCCUCACAGAGCUGCGGUUUCUUUGGAGGGAGCCAGGACGGCGGCGGGACAUCGAGCAUCGAAAGCUGAAGGACCCCAGAUUCUCAAGUCAGCAAAUGCGCUUUGCAUGUAUGCAAACAUCCUGCGCGACAGCCCACGGAAAACCGGUUGUUUCUCGAAUGCCCGGCUCAGCGCUGACCGGAAGUGCCAGCGCCAAGUGUGGCGUCACUGCGGGGCCAUCCGCCUGGGGCUCGGCUCCUGGGCUCUCGCAGGCGCAGGGACACCACUGUCCUGCUGUCCCAGCCGUGGGCCUGCAAGCCUCACAGAGAUGGGCGUCUUGCCUCUGUGACUCGGGGAGCGCCUGUCACCUGGGCGGCUCUGCUCUCCCGGGCUGAGGAACCUGCAUUCACGGCUGUCGCCGGCUGCACACGUUGGAGUGACGACUGCCAGGCAGCAGACGCUGAACUCGGUCCCUGGAGAGGGCGUUAAAUCCAGCCACCGACCGCUCAUCCGGGGAGGCAGGGUCACAAACAGCCGAGCGCAGUCCUCAGAAGUGACCGCACCCGUUCACGACCAACGACCCUAAGGCACGUUACAGGGUGAGCUGGGCACACAGACGAGGCUGCACAGGGACGUCCUGGCUCCGGGGGGCACAGUUCCCGGGGUGCGCGUGGGUCCUCAUCCCGCUUUACAUGGUAACCCGUCACCAUCACUGAGUUUUACAGGACACAGAGGCAAGACCCAACAGCCAAUCGACAGAAUCGCGAGUUAAGAGCCUGAUUAGUGCUUUGUGCAGGGACCCGCCGUGAUUACAGCCGCGCGCGGCCACGCGGGAGGAGACGUAAGUCCACCCACUUCUGUCUGGGCGAAACUGCGUCAGGAGCUGGUGCUUACUGCCCACCCACACUCCCAGUGGCAGGCAGAGGCCCUGGGAUGACGCUGCCUGUGCUCCCGCCGGACCCAGCCUGACCCACCCCUCCAGGGCCUGGGGGCGGCUGCCUCUAAGACGGGCUUGGGACCCAGCGUCCUCCCUGCUGCACACACCAUGUUUUCCCUGCUCCCUGCCGCUCCACCCGGGCGGCUGGGGUCAUGCAAGGGGAAGGUGUGGCCAUCUGUUGGCAAAUUUGGUAAAAGGGCUGAUGAAAAUGUGACUGAAAUCCAACUUUGGGUGACAGAGACAGCGAUGAUUUCCAGGACGGGGAGAGGGGGGCAGCCUCGUCUUCGUGCCUGUCAUCUGUCCCCAGGGGAAAGGCACAGGGCCCUCGAGUCAGGGACCCCAGGGUCCAGGGAGGGCUGGCUCCUUCCCCUUUGGAAAUGUCAAACCUGAGAGCAUGCUUGUGGGAGAGGCCUGGCGCUUCGCUGGAGGGCACCCCCGCAGGGCUUUGGCGCC